CCUCAUUCGUUUCGAACGAACAGAGCCCUAGCCCCUUUCGGCCCUUCGUGAGUUCGUUUUGGUGAUUCAAACCAGCAGAAGCCUUCGCGAUCCUUCGAACCAGUCAAAAGUCUUCGCAACUUGUCUUCGAGCUUUGAACCAAGAUCAUGAGUUCGUCUUCAACAUUUUGAAGAAGCACGACCGUUCGUGACUUCGUUUUGAACCUCCAGGAGCCCUUGCGAGUUCGUAUGUUGGUUUCCCUUUGAAGAAUAUCAACCCUUUUUUGCUUGCAAAAGCGCGAAAAGGUGCUUGGAAUGUGCUAACUGAAAGAUCUCAGGUCACCCCAGUUGGACUUUCUCCUCUGUUUUGUUCUCCUUUGUUUUGGAGUUGCCAUUGAAGAUCAACCACCGGAAGCCUUCCAGUCUUCAAGACAUGGCUCUAGGAGGUCGUCGUGACCGACUUCCAUUCAGGUUCUCGACUACAUCGCAUGAUGAUCUGACGUCUUUGAGACCGGUGGAGCCCAUUAGUCCUGAUGUGGCACCAUCAUUGUCUGAGCCAUCAGGACCUUGACCAGACAUGGAUACCUCAGUUGGGGAUGACACGCAGGGUGAGUUGCCUACCAUGAUGAGCAUUGUUGCAUUGAUAUCCACGGUCAGGUCAGGCCAUGGUGUAGUGAAGAACACAACACUUAAGAAGCACCUGGAGAGGACGGGGCAGCGCAUUCAGAUAGACAUUCCUCUAGGCUUCACAGCCCCGCGUGAUGAUUAGUGCCCAGCGUGGGCACGGGAGCUCGACAUUAUCUGCCGACAGUACGAUUCGUUCACCGCCUUCAGCUGGCCGCAAGUGAUUGAGGCACAACGUAUGGUUCUUUACAUGCGCAUCUUGUUCGAUAUGGACAUUCUCCACACAGACCAUGUGAAGAGGGCGGUGGACGUCCAACUGUGCAAUAAAUUUAAGACCUAUCAUGUGAAAAUGCGUGAACAUUUUUGGGCAAUGGGAGAUCAAGUAGAAACUCACCUAUACAAUAAGAUAUCCCAAUAGGAUUGGGAGGUGGUGUGUUUCCAUUUCUCUGAUCCACACUAUCAGGUGAUGUGUUUGUAUUAUAAUAACUACUUUAAGCUUUGAUGUGGCGAAUAAGAAGUCUUUACAUCUUUUUUGUAGGCUAUAUGUAAAAAAAAAUGCUGUGAACAGCAGCAAACUCCCUACGACGCAUUGUGGUGGGUCGAAGUUAUUCGUAAAUCAUCGAAGGCGUGAUCCCGAGACUGGCACAGAGGAGCCACUUUCGGAUCUUUAUCAAAGAGCACACCAAAGGCGAUUGGGGGAGUGGUGCGACGGUGCGUAGGGCAAACAUGCGAAGAUAGUCGAGCUGAGGGAUGCACUUGUUGCAGACGGAUUACCAGAUAAUCGCUCAGGUGCUUUGGGAAUGAGUGUGGGGUUAGGUUAAAGGUCUUGGAAGUGGAUACAUCACCCUUACAACAUCAUCUUCUAUGGGGGCGACAGCUCGUGCUGAGAUGGAAUGAGUGCGUUGAGACGCUGAGUCUCAGGCGAACGCGAUGGUUCAGCGGAUGCAUACGAUGGAAAUAGAGAACUAGCAAUUGAAAGACAUGGUGUCUAACGUCACAGUGUAGAACCAGAGUGUGAAAGGCUUGGUGUCUAACAUCUCGAUGGAGAACCAAAGUUUGAAAGACAAGGUCUCCACCGUUGAAGCCACACUCGCCGCAAUUCUGAACAAGCAAGCACAAUUCUAAGAAAUGAUGCACCGAUCUCAACCAGAUGAUGUUGGUGGCUCCUCUCAUUAGAAGGUAUACAUAACUCAACACUUACAUUUGUCAUGGAAGUAAGUUGGAAAUCAAAGACAAAUCAAGAGAAAGCUUCAUUGAGUAUUUAAAAACAAAUGAAAAAGCUUGAAGACCAAAAGGGACUUGAAGUCAAGGGGAUCAUCAAGAGACUUGAAGAUUUAGUACUCAAAUGCUAUAUUUAGAAAAGCUGUUUGUAAGUACUUCGUAUCAAAUAUAAUUUAGAAAAUAUGAAGCUCUUUAGGAGAAAUACAUGGACUUAGAGACCUAUUUUAAAACCCCGAAAAAUGUUUUAUGAAAUACCAAAACAAGAGCAAAAUUAAAUUUGAAAACCAAAAAUGAAAAAAUUAGAGAAAAGAUUGGUCAGUCAACUGACCAAAAUACUCUGGGUUUAGUCAGCUGACUGACAGAUGAACAACAACAAAAUUAAUUGUCUAGUCGAUUGACUCAAUGAACUUAAACCACCCAGCCGACUGACAGUACCUGGCCGACUGACCCAUUUUGAACUGUGUCACGCUAGCCGACUGACUAUUUCCUGAUUUAAUUUCUGGAAGACAAAAGGGUGUCAGCUGCCUGUCCAACCGACUGACCCUGUGGAAAUACACUACCUAGUCGCCUGGUCAGCCAAUUAACUCCACGGGUUUUGAUUUUUUGAACUCCAACAGGAAAAUUUCAAAAAUUCGUUUUUCAAAUAUGAACAUUAUAAAAACUUGGUGGACACUCCAAGUCACUUGGGGAACAAGGAAAGUAAUCCUAAAUUGCCUAUAAAUACUCCUUCAAUCCCAAGAAUUCAAUCAUCCAAGCAAUUACUCAACACUCUUGCAUUCAAAGCUUACAAUCUCUUAAAGCUCUCUAUUGCUUACAUUCCAUCUGGUAGAAAAAGUUCUGAAAUCACUGCUGAAUCAUCAAACGACGGUUCUUACACUAAGUUUUCUCAAUCAACGAACCUUUGGUGAUCUCUAUACUUGAGCAUCAUACUUUCUUUAUUAUUAUUUGAUUGUAGUAUAAUUUAUGUUCUAACUUGUACAACUCUACUAUGUUUUGAGAGUUUCUUUGUACUCAGAUCAUAGUAGCCUUCUCAUUGUAUAAUUUACGGUUCAAAGCUUGUAUGGAUCGUUGUACCAAGCGGGGAUUGUUCUCUUGGAGAGGUUUCUCUUCCUGAAAAAGAGGGAAUAUUGUAAAAGGCUUGCUCCACCCGGAAAGGAGCAUACUUAGUGGAAUCCUUUGGUGGAAUUUACCAA